AGAUGUGAGGGCGAUCUGCCGGUGACAUCUGGUACCCCAUCCAUUAGCCAGGGUUGAUUCGGUUGAUCUAGCUGCCUUGCCAGAAUCCUCGUGCUCCCUCACAGCUCAGGUCCUUCCCUCCGGAAGCCUCGCAUCUGGUAGAAGAGGGCGACCUCCCGGGAUAGAGGAGGACUGUUCCUCGGUCAAGGGCAUACGAGUAGCUGCACUCCCCUGCUAGAACCUCAAACAAGCUCUCAAGGCCCAUUUACAGGAGAACGUAAGGUUGUCAAGCUUCCAAGACUGCAGCCACUAUCCAAAGGAGGUGCUGCAUGCGGCAGUCCGCCUUUCUUA
rnacentral:snRNA from 1 species